rnacentral:lncRNA from 1 species
UUCAUGGUGUACUCCGAGCUUGCUCUCGCUCCGGAAGUUGAUUCGUGGGAAGGGAGGAACGGGGUGUGCGUGCAGAAAAUACAGGGGGUGUAUUAUAAAAUUUCCGAACAUGGGAAAUCUUGUGAUGAUUUACCGUACCUUUGGCGCGAAUCCGACCGUUUCUUCUGAUUUUUGGGCUUUUGGAGUCGAUGAAAUAGUUCUGGGCAUUAUUAAAGAGGGCUGACGAGGAGAUGGCCCAUAAAAUAAUUUUCGUUUUGGCCA